GGACUGCAAUCAGUUGUUUUCAACAUUUAAACAGACUGAACUCUACAGUUCCCUACAAAAUGGUGUCUACAGGACUGCAAUCAGUUGUUUUCAACAUUUAAACAGACUGAACUCUACAGUUCCC